rnacentral:rRNA from 1 species
UACAGAGGUCCCGAGCGUUGUUCGGAUUCAUUGGGCGUAAAGGGUGCGUAGGUGGCGUCGUAAGUGGGGUGUGAAAUCCCGGGGCUUAACCCCGGGACUGCAUUCCAUACUGCGGUGCUUGAGGACUGGAGAGGAGACUGGAAUUUACGGUGUAGCAGUGAAAUGCGUAGAGAUCGUAAGGAAGACCAGUGGCGAAGGCGGGUCUCUGGACAGUUCCUGACACUGAGGCACGAAGGCCAGGGGAGCAAACGGG